GACGAACGCUGGCGGCGUGCCUAAUACAUGCAAGUAGGACGCAGUUGCGAACGGGUGAGUAACGCGUAGGUAACUACCUAUUAGAGGGGGAUAACUAUUGGCAACGAUAGCUACUACCGCAUACUAGUAGAUGGACCUGCGUUGUAUUAGCUAGUAGGUAGGGUAAUGGCCUACCGAGGCAACGAUACCUAGCCGAGCUGGGAGGGUGAUCGGCCACACAGGGGCUGAGAGACGGCCCAGACUCCUACGGGAGGCAGCAGUAGGGAAUCUUCGGCAAUGGGGUGAACCCUGAACGAGCCAAGCCGCGGGAGUGAAGAAGGUUUUCGGAUCGUAAAGCUAUGUUGUGAAGGAAGCGGUACUUAACCAGAAAGGGACGGCUAACUACGUGCCAGCAGCCGCGGUAAUAC
rnacentral:rRNA from 1 species